rnacentral:lncRNA from 1 species
GUCAUUUAUUACUGCAAAAACAUGACAAUCAAAUGUCAAUUAAAAAAUAAUUAAUCAUCAAUAUACACAAAAUGAAUUUAAAACAAAAGUUUUAAAUGUUGAAAUAGCAUUUGUAUUUAUUGCACUUUUACCUAUAGUUAGACUGAACUUGUAACAUUCCUACUUCCUUGUCGUCUGUUAUCCUGAUGAGAGGCGCUAAAAACAUAUUGACAAUCGUGUAUUGAUCACAACAGCACCAUGUGUUGGUGUGCGUACUCCUAGUUCAAAAAGCAAAUAAUUUGACUUCUGUACACAAACUAGUAUCACAAUUCGUCCACAUUCUAAACUGUAUAUGUUUGCUCAUUAUUAAUGGUAGUUGGUGACCUAUAUAGAUUUCACUUCCUUGGCCAUUGGUAUCGUAUGGAAUAUUUAUCUCAGAUGAUAUUGUUUUGCUAGAAUAACAAAUUCGAGUACGUUCAUGCUAACAAAAAGGGGCGGAAAGACAUUUUUCAGGAAUUCGGGUUUGGGGAAUUCGCGGAAACUCGGGAAUAGCCAGUCGGGAA